UGCUUGGUGCUCUGUAGCUGGAAGGA
rnacentral:piRNA from 1 species